rnacentral:rRNA from 1 species
UACGUAGGGUGCAAGCGUUAAUCGGAAUUACUGGGCGUAAAGCGUGCGCAGGCGGUGAUGUAAGACAGAUGUGAAAUCCCCGGGCUCAACCUGGGAACUGCAUUUGUGACUGCAUCGCUGGAGUGCGGCAGAGGGGGAUGGAAUUCCGCGUGUAGCAGUGAAAUGCGUAGAUAUCUGGAGGAACACCGGUGGCGAAGGCGGCAUCCUGGACCAUUACUGACACUGAAAAGCGAAAGCCAGGGGAGCAAACGGG